rnacentral:lncRNA from 1 species
UCCAUCACCAAUAAGUGCUGUCUGAUCGCCGGGCGGAGGCCCCACUGGAAUUUCCUGGCCAUUCGGCCCUCAUCCAACAAUGUCUCCGGGGCAUGUCGGCCCAGCUCCAGGAACUUGCGGGCAUACUCCGACACUGUCAUAUUACCUUGGACCAAUUGAGCAAAUUCCAUUUCCUUUAAAUGUUGGAUGUGUUUAGGGAGAUACUCCGCAUGGAAGGCCACUAGGAACUGCUCCCAAGUAACUGGUACAGGCAGGGUGGCCCGCUUGAGCUCCCACCAGCGUACUGCUUCCCCUACCAACAUGUAGGAGGCAAUGGCAGUCCUCUGCUCGGGAACUACU